rnacentral:rRNA from 1 species
UACAGAGGUCCCAAGCGUUGUUCGGAUUCACUGGGCGUAAAGGGUGCGUAGGUGGCCAGGUAAGUUCGGUGUGAAAGCUCGGAGCUUAACUCCGAAAUGGCAUUGAAUACUAUCUGGCUAGAGGGUCGGAGGGGAGACUGGAAUUCUCGGUGUAGCAGUGAAAUGCGUAGAUAUCGAGAGGAACACCAGUGGCGAAGGCGAGUCUCUGGACGACUCCUGACACUGAGGCACGAAAGCCAGGGGAGCAAACCAGG